GACAGACUGGGCCGCUACAGACAGCUGCGAUCGCGGAACCUGUGGAGUGACAACCAGGCCGUUACAGUCACUUCGGAUAAUAUCAGUUAUAAGAUCGUGUUGGACAUGCAUGACUUUGUGGAUGGAGAUGUGAAGGUGAAGCUGAUGGGCGAGAAGGAGCUGCUGGUGGAGGCCCUUUCGGCCGGGUCCUCGCGCACCUUCAGACGCAGCUUUUCCUUGCCUGAGUCACUGACAUGGCAUCCAUCACGCCUGUCAUGUCGUCAGAUGGCAUCCUCACAAUCACUGUGACCAAGAAGGAGACUGAAACACAACAGAAGACGACUGUCAUCCCCAUUAGCGUCAAGGAAACGCACAAUGCACAAGUUCACAGCUCAACUUCCUCGACGACCUCGGGAGUUUCUGAGGAAGCGGCGUCUGGCCAGAAUCGUCCCACACAGCCCAACAGGAGGAACGCAAAUCCACACGAUGCCAUCAGGAGAAGAUCGACGAGAACAAGACCCAAACUGCAGCUUCCAGUAUCUCAAGCAACACCCAAAUAUCAUCACAGAAGCAGUCGUCGGUGAUCUCAGAUUUCGCUUCCACAAGAAAUUCCGACUCGCUGGAAGCAAAGGAAACUCUUGGCAGUUCGCAAGACGAUUCCUUGGCCAUCGCGAGGAGAGGAAGCUUCUUGCAAGACUCGUUCUUCUCCGACAUUCGCCGAGACUUCGACGCCUCCGUCAGGGAAAUCUUGAAGAAAUGCGACGACUCCGACCUCACGCUGACAGGCGAUGUCAGUCACAGUGACAUCCUGAGCCGCUACAGGCAGCUUCGAUCUCGAAACAUGAGGGAAGAGAACCAGGCCUUCUGCGUCUCGUCAGACAGUGCCAGCCUCAAGAUCGUGCUGGACGUGCAUGACUUCAUGCGCGGAGACGUCAAGGUGAAAGUCGUCGACGAGGAGCUGGUGGUGGAAGGGCGCGCGGAGGAGGAGGAAGGAGGGUCGUCCGUCUCGACACGGUCCUUCAGGCCGCUUUGCCC
rnacentral:lncRNA from 1 species